rnacentral:tRNA from 1 species
CAAAAAAUAUUUUAAUAAAAAUAAUAAUUUUGGAGAUUAUUGAUAGUAGUUUAUACUUUUUUUGA